ACUAACAAGGAUUCCCCUAGUAACUGCGAGUGAAGCGGGAAAAGCUCAAAUUUAAAAUCUGGCACCAGCCCGAGUUGUAACCUAGAGAAGUGUUUUCGGCCGCUGUACUUGGACAAGUCCCUUGGAACAGGGCGUCAUAGAGGGUGAGAAUCCCGUACUUGCCAAGCUCACAGUGUCUAUGUGAUACGCUCUCGAAGAGUCGAGUUGUUUGGGAAUGCAGCUCAAAAUGGGUGGUAAAUUCCAUCUAAAGCUAAAUAUUGGCGAGAGACCGAUAGCGAACAAGUACCGUGAGGGAAAGAUGAAAAGCACUUUGGAAAGAGAGUUAAACAGUACGUGAAAUUGCUGAAAGGGAAGCGCUUGAAGUCAGUCGCGUUUGUAGGGACUCAGCCUUAACCGGUGCAUUUCCUUGCGAACGGGCCAACAUCGAUUUUGACCGUGGGAGAAGGGCUCGAGGAAGGUGGCAACUUCGGUUGUGUUAUAGCCUCCUGUCGUAUGCCACGGUUGGGAUCGAGGACCGCGGCUUUUGCCUAGGAUGUUGGCGUAAUGGCUUUAAGCGACCCG
rnacentral:rRNA from 2 species